rnacentral:rRNA from 1 species
CCUACGGUAGGCAGCAGUAGGGAAUUUUCGUCAAUGGACGCAAGCCUGAACGAGCAAUGCCGCGUGAGUGAAGCAGGCCUUCUGGUCGUAAAGCUCUGUUGCUGGGGAAGAACGGCAGCAUCAGUAAAUGAUUGCUGACUGAUGGUGCCUCUCCAGACAGUCACGGCUAACUACGUGCCAGCAGCCGCGGUAAUACGUAGGUGGCAAUCGUUAUCCGGACGGAUUGGGCGUAAAGGCUGCGCAGGCGGUCAGUGAAGUCUGGUGUGAAACCCACCAGCCCAACCCAGGAAGGGCUUUGGAAGCUGGAGGACUGGAGAGCAGGAGAGGAGGGUGGAACUCCAUGUGUAGCGGUAAAAUGCGUAGAGAUAUGGAAGAACACCAGUGGCGAAAGCGGC